CAUAGCUAUUUUUUUAUCUGUAUAUACUUCUGCAUUGCGUUGCGAGAAUUUAUUGAUGCUGGACGAUAAAUGCGCCCUGAGCAUGGCCAAGAAGCUGGCCAAGAUCGCCUCCGAACACGGAGGCAUAAAUUUCAAUUUCCCAGAAUUAUGCCACAACGAAUUAUUGUUACCAACAUAAUUUCUUGUGUAAUUACCAGGGCCGAGGUGAUAAGCUGCCAACACUUCCGAUGGUUUAGCAAGGAAAGUUUUGAAUUUGCCAUUGCACUUUAGUGUCCAAACUUUCAUCAUCAUUAGGGCCAACAACAUCAUCGAUUGCCUUCGACAGGCGAUAAGUGGUUCGAUCUGGUCACGGUCUCCAAUGAGAGCCCCAUCCCCUGGAGGCUGGCAUCUGGAGGAACAAUGCCCCAAAGCCGAAGUCCAGUCGGAGUCGGAGUCGGAGUCGCAGUCUCAGUCCCAGGCCAGGAUCCCGCAAAAAUUCACACAUCUUGUGCAAGUCCACCUCCCUUUAACUUCCUCAAACGGUUUGGGUCUAAAUGCACUGAGAAAUUUUUUAAAAUACCGAGUUUUUUCUAAAAUAUUUCAAAGAAAAGUAACUAUUUUUUAUAAAAAUACUUACUACUAAUUUUCAAUAGAUGUUGGCCCCCUUUUCAUAGAUUCCCAAUCUUUUUCAGUUUAGACUUGGUUUUGGGCCACAGUUCCCGCCACUCGACGCCACAGCAGGGAGGAGCUCCUCCAUGCCACAGCUGGGAUGAUUCAUUUGCCGCUGCGGAAAAAAUUCUUAAAAAAAAAAAAGAGAAAUAAUAAGGAGCCAAGUGGAGGAUUGCAGGGAAAAAUUGUUACGAAAACCAUUUAAAGGAAUUCUCUCGAGUUAGAAGAUACGAGAGACACGAUCAGGGGACAGGAAUCAGGAAUCAGGGACAUGGUCAUGGCCAAAAACAAAAAAGAAGGUACAACCGAGCGCGAGUCACACAGCAUUGGUGCAUUAACAGACCUUAGCAGACUGCUUGGGGUCUACCACCGCCAUCGCCUGCUCCCCCACAUCUUGCCACACCACCAGCACCUCCUUUUCCACCUCCGAUGCAGUUGCAUUUCGCGAUUCCAUUUCCUCUUCGCAUGAUUUCUCGCUGCGCUCCGAGUGCGCGCCCACAAUUGUCGAGAGAUUAGAGAUGCUGUAAUUCCAUGGCCUGCGAUGCCGAUUGGCCUGGCUUACCCGUUUCCGAGGCGGGGAUGGGGGCAUCUGCAGCAGCAUCUGCAGCAGCUUCAACAUCUCCAAAGGCAACACCAGCCACCACGACGACCGCGAUGAUGCGGUUGAUUUUGGCUUAUCACGUUCACGGGAGACUGCAAGACGCUCCACAGGUUUAUACGAGUCUGCAAGAUUGCGAAUUCUAUCAUAGACAACCAGAAUUUCAAAAGAAGAUAGAGCUUCAUAGAAUAUGGCAACAACUAGCUAUAUUUUAUACACUUUAGUACUUAUCUCUGUAAUCCGAUAUGCCAGCAUCAAAUCAAUGACCAUAUUAAAUUAUUUAAAUCCGAAACUUAAUCGAUCCAACAAGUCAUCAAGUUUGGUAUAUCCCCCGAACCCUAUUUCAAUAAUGGUUUUAAGAGAUUACCGAAAUUCAAUCUCUCACCUGCCAGUCAAAACUUUAUUUAUGUUAAUUAACAUAAUGGUAUGCAAAGUGCCCGCUAUAGACGAUUAAAAGCCACAUGAAUUUACGAGGUCUAUUUAU